UACAGAGGUCUCAAGCGUUGUUCGGAUUCAUUGGGCGUAAAGGGUGCGUAGGCGGCGCGGUAAGUCGGGUGUGAAAUCUUGGAGCUUAACGUCGUCAAACUGCAUUCGAUACUGCCGUGCUUGAGGACUGGAGAGGAGACUGGAAUUCAUGGUGUAGCAGUGAAAUGCGUAGAGAUCAUGAGGAAGACCAGUGGCGAAGGCGGGGUCUCUGGACAGUUCCUGACACUGAGGCACGAAGGCCAGGGGAGCAAACGGG
rnacentral:rRNA from 1 species